rnacentral:rRNA from 1 species
AUUGAACGCUGGCGGCAGGCCUAACACAUGCAAGUCGAGCGGAUGAAGGGAGCUUGCUCCUGGAUUCAGCGGCGGACGGGUGAGUAAUGCCUAGGAAUCUGCCUGGUAGUGGGGGAUAACGUCCGGAAACGGGCGCUAAUACCGCAUACGUCCUGAGGGAGAAAGUGGGGGAUCUUCGGACCUCACGCUAUCAGAUGAGCCUAGGUCGGAUUAGCUAGUUGGUGGGGUAAAGGCCUACCAAGGCGACGAUCCGUAACUGGUCUGAGAGGAUGAUCAGUCACACUGGAACUGAGACACGGUCCAGACUCCUACGGGAGGCAGCAGUGGGGAAUAUUGGACAAUGGGCGAAAGCCUGAUGCAGCCAUGCCGCGUGUGUGAAGAAGGUCUUCGGAUUGUAAAGCACUUUAAGUUGGGAGGAAGGGCAGUAAGUUAAUACCUUGCUGUUUUGACGGUACCAACAGAAUAAGCACCGGCUAACUUCGUG